rnacentral:snRNA from 14 species
GAGCUGGCUUUGGCAACACAUAUACUAAAACUGGAGCGACCAGGAGAAGCUAAGCACGGCCCCUGCGCAAGGAUCCACGGAAAUGACCAAAGGAACAUUGUAGAUGU